UCUGAGCUCUCCAAAGCCUACUGCCAGUUCUCUUCCUGGAUGAACUGCAACGGAGAGGCUAAAGAUGAUUCCUUUCUUAUGCAUAUUUUCUCUGCUCUUGCUGGUUGUUGUUAACCCUGCAAAUGCCAAUGGUCAUUAUGACAAAAUUUUGGCUCAUAGCCGUAUCAGAGGCCGAGAUCAGGGCCCAAAUGUCUGUGCCCUUCAACAGAUUUUAGGCACCAAAAAGAAAUACUUCAGCACUUGUAGAAACUGGUAUCAAGGUGCCAUCUGUGGAAAGAAAACGACUGUGCUAUAUGAAUGUUGCCCUGGUUAUACGAGAAUGGAAGGAGUGAAAGGCUGCCCAGCAGUUUUGCCUAUUGACAAUGUUUAUGGUACUCUGGGCAUUGUGGGAGCCACCACAACACAACACUAUUCUGAUGUCUCAAAAUUGAGAGAAGAGAUCGAAGGAAAAGGAUCAUUCACUUACUUUGCACCAAGUAAUGAGGCUUGGAACAACUUGGAUUCUGAUAUCCGUAGAGGUUUGGAGAGCAAUGUAAAUGUUGAAUUAUUGAAUGCUUUACAUAGCCACAUGGUUAAUAAGCGAAUGUUAACCAAAGACUUAAAAAAUGGUAUGAUUGUUCCUUCGAUGUAUAACAAUCUGGGGCUUUUCAUUAACCAUUAUCCUAAUGGGGUUGUCACUGUUAAUUGUGCUCGAAUCAUCCAUGGGAACCAGAUUGCAACAAAUGGUGUUGUACAUGUCAUUGACCGUGUCCUUACACAAAUUGGUACCUCAAUUCAAGACUUCAUUGAAGCAGAAGAUGACCUCUCAUCUUUUAGGGCAGCAGCCAUCACAUCUGAUAUAUUGGAAGCCCUUGGAAGAGAUGGUCACUUCACACUCUUUGCUCCCACCAAUGAGGCCUUUGAGAAACUUCCACGAGGUGUCCUAGAAAGGAUCAUGGGAGACAAAGUGGCUUCUGAAGCUCUCAUGAAAUAUCACAUUUUAAACACUCUCCAGUGUUCUGAGGCCAUUACAGGAGGAGCAGUCUUUGAGACUCUGGAAGGAAACACAAUAGAGAUAGGAUGUGAUGGUGACAGCAUAACAGUAAAUGGAAUAAAAAUGGUGAACAAAAAAGAUAUUGUGACAAACAAUGGUGUUAUUCAUUUGAUUGAUCAGGUCCUAAUUCCUGAUUCUGCCAAACAAGUUAUUGAGCUUGCUGGAAAUCAACAAACCACUUUUGCAGACCUCAUAGCCCAGUUAGGUUUGGCAUCUGCUCUGAGGCCAGAUGGAGAAUAUACUUUGCUGGCACCUGUGAAUAAUGCAUUUUCUGAUGAUACUCUGAGCAUGGAUCAGCGCCUUCUUAAAUUAAUUCUGCAGAAUCAUAUAUUGAAAGUAAAAGUUGGACUUAAUGAGCUUUACAAUGGACAAAAACUUGAGACCAUUGGAGGCAAACAGCUCAGAGUCUUUGUGUAUCGAACAGCUGUCUGCAUUGAAAAUUCCUGCAUGGUGAGAGGAAGCAAACAAGGGAGAAAUGGUGCUAUUCACAUAUUCCGAGAGAUCAUCAAACCAGCAGAGAAAUCCCUCCAUGAAAAGUUAAAACAAGAUAAACGCUUUAGCAUCUUCCUUAGCUUUCUAGAAGCUGCAGACUUGAAAGAGCUCCUAACACAACCUGGGGAUUGGACUUUAUUUGUUCCAACCAAUGAUGCCUUUAAGGGAAUGACUAAUGAAGAAAAGGAAAUUCUGAUUCGCAACAAAAAUGCUCUUCAAAACAUUAUCCUUUAUCACCUGACACCAGGAGUUUUCAUUGGAAAGGGGUUUGAACCUGGAGUUACUAACAUUCUAAAGACCAUACAAGGAAGCAAAAUCUAUCUGAAAGGAGUAAAUGACACACUUCUGAUAAAUGAAUUGAAAUCAAAAGAAUCUGAUAUCAUGACAACAAAUGGUGUCAUUCAUGUUGUAGAUAAACUUCUCUAUCCAGCAGACAUGCCUAUUGGAAGUGAUCAGCUGCUGGAAGUACUUAAUAAACUGAUCAAAUAUAUCCAAAUUAAGUUUGUUCGUGGUAGCACCUUCAAAGAAAUCCCCAUGACUGUCUAUACUCUGGCUCCAGCUCUGAGGCCUCUGCUGCUGAAAGCAGCUACUAAAAUUAUAACCAAAGUUGUAGAACCAAAAAUUAAAGUGAUUGAAGGCAGUCUUCAGCCUAUUAUCAAAACUGAAGGACCCACAAUAACAAAGAUGAAAAUUGAAGGUGAGCCUAAAUUCAGACUGAUUAACGAAGGUGAAACAGUAACUGAAAUAAUCCAUGGAGAGCCAAUUAUUAAAAAAUACACCAAAAUCAUUGAUGGAGUGCCUGUGGAAAUAACUGAAAAAGAGACAAGGGAAGAACGAGUCAUUACAGGUCCUGAAAUAAAAUAUACUAGGAUUACUACUGGUGGUAGAGAAACAGGAGAAACUCUGAAGAAAUUGUUGCAAGAAGAGGUCACCAAAGUCACCAAACUCAUUGAAGGUGGUGAUGAUCAUUUACUUGAAGAUGAAGAAAUUAAAAGACUGCUUCAGGGAGAGUUAUUAGCCAAAUGAUACUUUGUUGUCCUCAUGUACUAAAAGACACACCUGUGAGGAAGAUACAAGACAAUAAAAGAGUUCAAGGAUCUAGAAGACGAUCAAGAGAAGAUCGUUCUCAGUGAAAAUCCAGACAAGACGACAUAGUUUAUACAACCCUAAACCCUGACAUUAAAGAAUUAUUAUGAAAGCCACUUUGAUUUCAGGAAAUAAACCAUCACUGCAAAAAAAAACAAUCAUUGAACAAUUCUGAAUGCAAAUUUAAUUCUUUUUAAUUAGGAAAAUGAGGGAAAUGUGGACUUUACAAUCUCAAUUGUGAGAUGGGAACUGAGGGAAUUCAAACACCAUACAGGUUUUUACAUCUUGACAUUAAACAUUCUGACGAACUUUGGGAUCCAUCAAAGAAAAUCCUUAUCACUGGAUCCAUUACAAUUCAAAUCUCAGUGGUGAGCCAUUAUCUGAUUCAGAAAAUUAAGCCUUGAAUUUAUUUAGUGGAUAGACAAAAUGUAUGCAAUCAGUUACUUCUCCAUGAAAAGCUAACUUAUAGAAAAGGGUGCUCAAUAUUAAGAAAACAACCCUAGCCAGUUUGGCUCAGUGAAUAGAGCAUAGGCCUGAGGACUGAAGGGUCCCAGGUUCAAUUCUGGCCAAGGGCGCAUGCCCAGGUUACAGGCUUGAUCCUG